rnacentral:rRNA from 1 species
CCUACGGGUGGCAGCAGUGAGGAAUAUUGGUCAAUGGACGAGAGUCUGAACCAGCCAAGUAGCGUGAAGGAUGACUGCCCUAUGGGUUGUAAACUUCUUUUAUAAAGGAAUAAAACGAGGCACGUGUGCCUUUUUGCAUGUACUUUAUGAAUAAGGAUCGGCUAACUCCGUGCCAGCAGCCGCGGUAAUACGGAGGAUCCGAGCGUUAUCCGGAUUUAUUGGGUUUAAAGGGAGCGUAGAUGGGUUGUUAAGUCAGUUGUGAAAGUUUGCGGCUCAACCGUAAAAUUGCAAUUGAUACUGGCAGUCGUGAGUACAGUUGAGGUAAGCGGAAUGCGUGGUGUAGCGGUGAAAUGCUUAGAUAUCACGAAGAACCCCGAUUGCGAAGGCAGCUUACUAAACUGUGACUGACAUUGAUGCUCGAAAGUGUGGGUAUCAAACAGGAUUAGAUACCCUAGUAGUC